AUUGAACGCUGGCGGCAGGCCUAACACAUGCAAGUCGAGCGGAGCGGCGGACGGGUGAGUAAUGCCUAGGAAUCUGCCUGGUAGUGGGGGAUAACGUCCGGAAACGGGCGCUAAUACCGCAUACUAUCAGAUGAGCCUAGGUCGGAUUAGCUAGUUGGUGGGGUAAAGGCCUACCAAGGCGACGAUCCGUAACUGGUCUGAGAGGAUGAUCAGUCAAACUUGAACUGGAACACGGUCCAGGAUCCUACGGGAGGCAGCAGUGGGGGAUAAUUGGCAAAGGGCGAAAGGCUGAUCCAGGCAUGCCGGGGGGGGGAAGAAGGGUUUCGGAAUGGAAAGCACUUUAAGUUGGGAGGCGUUACCAACAGAAUAAGCACCGGCUAACUUCGUGCCAGCAGCCGCGGUAAUAC
rnacentral:rRNA from 1 species